AUUAAACGCUGGCGGCAGGCUUAACACAUGCAAGUCGAGCGGGGGAAGGUAGCUUGCUACCGGACCUAGCGGCGGACGGGUGAGUAAUGCUUAGGAAUCUGCCUAUUAGUGGGGGACAACAUCUCGAAAGGGAUGCUAAUACCGCAUACGUCCUACGGGAGAAAGCAGGGGAUCUUCGGACCUUGCGCUAAUAGAUGAGCCUAAGUCGGAUUAGCUAGUUGGUGGGGUAAAGGCCUACCAAGGCGACGAUCUGUAGCGGGUCUGAGAGGAUGAUCCGCCACACUGGGACUGAGACACGGCCCAGACUCCUACGGGAGGCAGCAGUGGGGAAUAUUGGACAAUGGGGGGAACCCUGAUCCAGCCAUGCCGCGUGUGUGAAGAAGGCCUUAUGGUUGUGAAGCACUUUAAGCGAGGAGGAGGCUACUUUAGUUAAUACCUAGAGAUAGUGGACGUUACUCGCAGAAUAAGCACCGGCUAACUCUGUGCCAGCCGCCGCGGUAAAAC
rnacentral:rRNA from 1 species